UCUAAUAUGGCAAUGCCGUAAUCGGCCAUUUUAGAUUUCAUUAUUUUUUCCCUGUGUAAAUUCCCAUAAGGAAUCGGGGUACCUUUACUUUUAAUUCAUUUUUUAAUUAUAAGUGUGUUACAGCCAAUUUAUUUUUCAUCGAUCGCGUUCCCCGAUGAAUUUGUAACAUUUUCAUGUAUGGUAAGUAUUACUUGUGGCUUAUAUUAAUUAUGUAAUUUGAACUUUCAUUAGGUUGUUUUGAUUCUGGAAUGUCAAAACAGACAUGUUGUGUGUUGCCGUUUGGCUGCGGUAACAGAUACAAUGUUUAUGAAUCUGUUAUGUAAGUUUUGCAUCCCAAAAGUGAAUGUUAUUGGACAUCCAGAAUAUGUGGUUUUAUAAAGUAGGGACAUCCAGAAUAUGUGGUUUUAUAAAGUAGGAGCCAUGUAUGGCUGAAAAGAACAAAUAUGAGAAAAAAAGAUUGGCAAAAUAAAGCAGAGUUUGCAACAUUUUGCUUCCGUUCAGCCAAGUUAUGUAUUUAACUAAAGAUGUUGACUGGGCACCAACACGUAAUCAAGAGAAUAAUUCCAUUGGGAUGGCUACUGUUAAAAGAAUUAGUCACUCUGUAAGAAGGCAGAUUGCUAGUAUAUGUUCAAAGAUGUAAGAGGAUGACAGUAUCAAAAGAUGCAGUAACUGAUGUUAUGAAAGAUACCGCUGGAUAUACCCAAUGCAGAACACCUUUGAUAGACACAUCAACAAAUUGGUGAAUCAACAAACGAGCAGCAUCCAUCUACCUUCAACUGCUCUUGCAUUAGAAAACUAGGCAUUGGUUCUUCGAAUAAAAGUAUUGAAAAAUGAAAAGACAAUUACUAGUUGAAACAGUGUCACAUGUUCAGUAUCUGUAUUAAAAACUUCUUUUCACCUCGUUUAAUACAAAUGUUUCUCUAGAAAGUA